GACGAACGCUGGCGGCGUGCUUAACACAUGCAAGUCGUACGGUAAGGCCCUUUCUGGGUUACACGCGCGGCGAACGGGUGAGUAACACGUGCGUAACUUGCCCACAACUUUGGGAUAACGCUCGGAAACUGGCUCUAACACUUGAUAUGUGCUCCUGCUGCCUGGUGGGUGUUGGAUAGCUCCUGCGGUUGUGGAUGGACUCGCGGGCUAUCAGCUUGCUGGUGGGGUAGUGGCCUACCCAGGCGGCGACGGGUAGCCGGCCUGGGAGGGUGACUGGCCACAUUGGGGCUGGGGUAAGGCCCCGACCCCUACGGGGAGGAACAGGGGGGAAAAUUGGACAAUGGGCGCGAGCCUGGUGCCGCAAAGCCGCGGGCGGGAUGACGGGCUUCGGGUUGUAAAACGCCUUCCGCAGGGACGAAGGUUUGUGUGACGGUAACUGCAGAAGAAGCACCGGCUAACUACGUG
rnacentral:rRNA from 1 species